GAUGAACGCUGGCGGCGUGCCUAACACAUGCAAGUCGAACGGAAAGGCUCCUGCUUGCCGGGGUACUCGAGUGGCGAACGCGGGAGUAUCACGCGUGUGUACCGCCCUGCACUUCGGGAGAAGACUGGGAAACUGGGUCUAUAAUCGGAUAGGACGAUGGUUAGGAUGUGAUUGUGGAAAGAUUUUCGGUGUGGGAUGAGCUGGCGGCCUAUCAGCGUGUUGGUGGGGUAAUGGCCUACUAAGGCGUCGACGGGUAGCCGGCCUGGGAGGGUGUACGGCCACAUUGGGCCUACGGUACGGCCCAGACGGCAACGUGAGGCAGCGGUGGAAAGUAUUACGCAAUGGGCCCAAGCCUGAUACAAAGGCGUCGGGUGGGGAAUGACGGCCUUCGGGGUAUAAACACCUUUCGAUGGGGACGAAGCGCAAGUGACGGUACCUGAAGAAAAAGCACCGGCUAACUACGUG
rnacentral:rRNA from 1 species